CGGGACGGGACGCCACCGUGGCGACGAUGCGUAGGGGUUCUGAGAGGAAGGUCCCCCACACUGGUACUGAGACACGGACCAGACUCCUACGGAAGGCAGCAG
rnacentral:rRNA from 1 species